rnacentral:rRNA from 1 species
GAUUAAUGCUGGUGGUAUGCAUAACACAUGCAAGUUGACGAAGAGGGCUUGCCCUCUUAGUGGCGAACGGGCGAGUAACGCAUAUUUAACUUACUUACGCGAGGAGAAUAGCAAUCCGAAAGGGUUAUUAAUAUUUCAUAGGUUUAAGACUUAAAUUAAAGGGGGCGUUCCUUCGGGAGCCCCGCGCGUAAAUAGGAAUAUGUCCUAUUAGGUUGUUGGUGGGGUAAAUGCCUACCAAGCCGUUGAUGGGUAGCUGGGCUGAGAGGCCGACCAGCCGCAAUGGGAUUGAAAUAUGGCCCAUAUUCCUACGGGAAGCAGCAGUGAGGAAUUUUUCACAAUGGACGAAAGUCUGAUGGAGCAAUACCACGUGAACGAUGAAGAUCUUCUGAUUGUAAAGUUCUUUUAUUUAGGAAAAAAAGCUUGAUAGGAAAUGAUUAAGCCUUGAUCGUACUAAAUGAAUAAGUGACAGCUAACUAUGUGCCAGCAGCUGCGGUAAAACAUAGGUCACGAGC